rnacentral:rRNA from 1 species
GCAGUCGACGGGGCUAGGAAGCUUGCUUUCCGAAGCCUAGUGGCGGACGGGUGAGUAACGCGUGAGUAACCUGCCUUUCAGAGGGGAAUAACGUUCUGAAAAGAACGCUAAUACCGCAUAACGUACAGUUACCGCAUGGUAGUAGUACCAAAGGAGCAAUCCGCUGAAAGAUGGACUCGCGUCCGAUUAGCUAGUUGGUGGGGUAAAGGCCUACCAAGGCGACGAUCGGUAGCCGGACUGAGAGGUUGAACGGCCACAUUGGGACUGAGACACGGCCCAGACUCCUACGGGAGGCAGCAGUGGGGGAUAUUGCACAAUGGGGGAAACCCUGAUGCAGCAACGCCGCGUGUGGGAAGAAGGUUUUCGGAUUGUAAACCACUGUUCUUGGUGAAGAUAAUGACGGUAACCAAGGAGAAAGCUCCGGCUAACUACGUGCCAGCAGCCGCGGUAAUACGUAGGGAGCAAGCGUUGUCCGGAUUUACUGGGUGUAAAGGGUGCGUAGGCGGCUAGGCAAGUCAGACGUGAAAACCAUGGGCUCAACCUGUGGACUGCGUUUGAAACUGUUUAGCUUGAGUGAAGUAGAGGUAGGCGGAAUUCCCGGUGUAGCGGUGAAAUGCGUAGAGAUCGGGAGGAACACCAGUGGCGAAGGCGGCCUACUGGGCUUUAACUGACGCUGAGGCACGAAAGCAUGGGUAGCAAACAGGAUUAGAUACCCUGGUAGUCCAUGCCGUAAACGAUGAUUACUAGGUGUGGGGGGUCUGACCCCCUCCGUGCCGGAGUUAACACAAUAAGUAAUC